rnacentral:lncRNA from 10 species
UCUUCAGAACCUCAGAAGUUGAAUUAGGCUCCCGUGUGCCUUGGUUUGAGUGAGUGUGAAGAGUUUCCAAGAUACACAAUAAUAUGAUGGUAUUUUUCCCUGAUGUAUUUAGAGAACAAGGUCAUCCCCAGCCCUGAAGCAGUUGUCCAAGGCAAAGCUCUGUUCCUAGAGCUCAGUGCUUAGUGCCCCCAAAACACAGGGCAGACUCUGGUAUUGAAUGAAGACAGAGAAAAUCCCGCUGGUUUCAGUUUUGUCCAUUGCACCAAGCCCAGGACCUGAGAACUUGCACUCACCUGGGCAAAAUCUCCCCCUAAGAAGUUAGUGAUGUUUGUCAAAUUGGGUGAGAACUCCCCACAGGAUGCUGUCUUGUCUUUCAGAGAGCUGUCCGUGGGAGGAUGCCAUGGUCUGGCUAAGUCUGCUGGAAGUCCCACUUACCAUGCCUCAUGCGACAGAGGUAUGCCCAGGCCCUCCCUGACUCACUGCUUCUCUUCUGCUGGACUUCUCCCUAGGCCCCCAUCCCUAAAUUUCCCUAUCAGACCCUGGCUGCACCAAUACUUACGGUGAGGAUAUCUACC